rnacentral:sRNA from 1 species
CUGAAGGUGCGAGAAGAAGUCAGAAAUCUACAGUUACUCACACAAGGAAAUGCUGAAUGAUGUACAAGAAGCUAAUACAAGCUGCACCUGUGGGACAGGAAAGAUGGUGGAUGGAGAGAGGGUGUGUGCCUUUUAUGUCACUUCGUUUAUGAAAUGUAUGAGUAUAUUAACUAUUUAAAGGAAUAACAUUUUUAAAAAGAA